rnacentral:ncRNA from 1 species
AGUCGAACGGUGACAAGGAGCAGUAGUGAACAGGAUGCACCAUAGAGAGCUGACGGAAGGUGCAAGUCAGCAGCAAAUGUUCAUGAACUCGCCUUUGAGUUUGCAGAUGCGAAAGAAAUCAGUAGUGUCUGCCGUGCAUUCACGUUACGAAUGUCAAGCGAGUGUAGUUUGUAUACACUAAUUUGGGUGGUACCGCGGGAGAAAGCUCUCGUCCCUUUU